rnacentral:lncRNA from 1 species
CCAUUUUCAAUUAAGAAUAGUACGGUGUUAGGCACUACAAACGUCAAGUUGAUGGAUCUCGAGAUCCAAUUCUGCAGCUAGGAUUAGUAGCAUACGAAUGGUUGUGAGUUUCACCACAACCAUUCGAGUUUCUCCAAGUAGUCCAGCCCAUGUGCCACAAAUCUCGCCUUGUAGCACUCAAUGCUUCCAUCAGCGUUGUACUUUUUUGGAUGAGACGAGCUUUCUGCGAGCUGGAAGUUCAACCAGCGACAAGUGUUGUUUUUCUGGAGAGAAUCAUACUCCUCCUGCAUAGCUGCCUGCCAGUGCUCAGCUUCUGGUCCGUGUAGAGCCGCCUGGGGACCGAGAGAGGAGCUGAUCACAGUACUUCUCUUCCUUCUCCGAGUAGUCCAGCCCAUGUGCCACAAAUCUCGCCUUGUAGCACUCAAUGCUUCCAUCAGCAUUGUACUUUUUCUUAAACAACCACUUGGAUGAGACGAGCUUUCUGCGAGCUGGAAGUUCAACCAGCGACAAGUGUUGUUUUUCUGGAGAGAAUCAUACUCCUCCUGCAUAGCUGCCUGCCAGUGCUCAGCUUCUGGUCCAUGUAGAGCCGCCUGGGGACCGAGAGAGGAGCUGAUCACAGUACUUCUCUUCCUUCGACACCUCCUCUGACGACUCCACAGGCCAUAGCGGCUGCCUCAAGCACCAAUGAACAGCCAGAUCUUUCCACGCUUAUGGCUGACCUGUUCGUUGGCAAUGAGUUAUAUCAAGAUGCCACCACUCCUCCCAGCAUUCCCAAGCUACCACCUCCUCCAGCCGGCACAGGUGACAUGCUCGGGUCGUGUCGUGAAACCAUCUCUUAAAGCCAAGGAGGCGAUGCCUAUAGGAAAGUGUGCCUACUUCUGGGCUCUGUCGGCUCCACCUGCCUCUCUGGAUCCCCAGCCGUGUCACCACUGCUGUGCCGGCUGGAGGAGGAGGUAGCUUGUAAAUGCUGGGAGGAGUGGUGGCAUCUUGAUAUAACUCAUCGCCAACGAACAGAUCAGCCACAAGCGUGGAAAGAUCUGUCUGUUCAUUGAGGAGGCAGCUGCUGUGGCCUGUGGAGUCGUCAGAGGAGGUGUCAAAGGAAGAGAAGUACUGUAAUCAGCUCCUCCUUCAGGCGCUCCUUCAGCAACUCCUCCUGGCUCUGCAGCGGCUGGAUUAUCUGGUGCUGGGUGGAGAUGUGGAACGUCGUCCAAAAUCUCAGAAAGAUCCACCAGAGAUGGUGGAGAAACAGGAGGGAGUCUCAGGGUAUCUCGAUAAAGAUGAGCUUCAUCAAACACCACAUCUCGGCUCACCACCAGUUUCCUGCGCUGGCAGUUAUAGAGUCGAUAGGCUUUUACCUGGGUGUGAUAGCCCAUGAAGAUGCAUUUCUCGCUCUUGGGAUCCAGCUUCCGCCGCUGAACAUCGGGGAUGUGGGCGUAGGCUAAGCAACCAAACACCCUCAAGUGCCCUAAUUUGGGGCGCUUCCCAGUCCAUACUUGAAACGGCACCUGUCCUGUGGAAUGUGUUGGCAGCCGGUUCCGGAGAUACACUGCUGUGUUGAGUGCCUCUCCCCAAAACACCUUGGGCAUGCCAGCGUGCUGGAGAAGGCAGCGUACACAGUCCAUAAGUGUCCUGUUCAGGCGCUCGGCGACCCCAUUCUGCUGCGAGGUGUGGGCUGCGGUGUACUCGUGGUGGAUGCCAGCCUGAGCAAGAAAUGCCAGAAACUCCUUGCUCAUAUACUCACCGCCGCCAUCUGAACGUAGUGUCCGGAUGGUACAGCCAGUGGCAUUUUCUGCCCAGCUUUUGUAGACCUGGAAGUGAUGGUAGACCUCUCCCUUGUGUGCCAUGAGAACAGCCACCACAUAGCGUGAGUAGUCGUCAAUGAACAAAAAGAAGUACCGCUUGUGACUGAGAGUUGCUUCUGGCACAUGGCACACAUCCGUGUGUACCAGCUGAAGAAAUCCUGAGGCGCCAUCUUCUGGACUUCUGCGUGGAAAGGGUAGUCUUGGCUGCUUCCCCAGUUGGCACGUCUCACAUACUCCCAGUUUGGCCGGCACCGGUGAGGGUAAAGUCAUUAGCAAGCUUGUGGCUAGCAAGUAGCUGGAUGUCGUGAGAAUUGGCAUGCCCUAGCCGAGCGUGCCAGAGCUGGAAAGAGUUGGCAGCCCAGGAGUUGGGGCGAAUUGCAAGCAAAUGCCCCUGCUCGUGAGUUGAGAGGAUCAACUGAGCAUUGAGCUUGUAGAGAGUCUCAGCUCGUCUACCAAAAGCUACUGGAUGGCCAGUCUCGUCAAAGAUGGUGCAUCCGUCUGCAUUGAAGAGUGUUGAGAAGCCUUGAUCUGCUGCUACACCAACUGAGAACACUGUCUGUCCUGCUUCUGAUACGUAGUAGACCUGGUUCACAAGCUUCUCAACUCCACUCUCCCACUUUAUGAUGACCGUUCCUUGUCCUUCCACUGUUAAGGGGCAUUUGUCUCCUACAAAGACUUGCUUCUCCUGCUCCAAUGGCCAGUACUUGUGAAAAGCUCUCUUCAAUGGUGUGAGGUGCAUCAAGGCUCCAGAAUCCAUCCAGAGCACUUCGGCUUCGGACACAGUGGAUGAAGAUGCAGCGAGCGUCAUCAUCAACAUCGUGUCAGGUUGGCGUGAAGAAGAGCUUCUUUCAGCGCGAGCUUUCUCUGUGGCUUUCUUGAUCUGGCAUUCACGCUCCACGUGGCCAGCUUUGCCGCAGUAGUUACAUGGGCCCUUGCGUUUUUUAUUGGUUGCAGGGCUGGGAGAAGGGCUCUUUUGUCCUCGAACAGGGUCAUCUCGUUUCUUCCCACCCGAUUGCUUUCCCAUGAUCAAGGCCUGCUCCACCCGAGCAGCCUGAGAGGGCGCCUUUGUCUCCGCUCGUUCUGCUUUCGUUCUUCCUCGAUCAGGUCCGAGUAGAGAGUCCAAGUCCUUUCCAGGCACAGCCGAGAGCAUCGAUGCGAAAGGUUGGAGAUCAGGGGAGACAGAGCUCAGAAGGAAUGCCUUAGCUUGAUCAAUGGUGAUUGCCGCUUCCGCGUCCUUCAGCUCAGUGAUCAUUGCUUUAAACUUUCCAAUGUAAGUGGCCAUGGUGUCAUCAGGUUGCAUUCUCAUCGUGAAGAACCUUUGUGUUAGCACCACCUUAGCAUUGGCAGCUUUGGCAACGAAGAUUUGUGUAAGGGAUGUCCAGUUCUGGUGGGCUGUUUUGGUAAGGUCAAGGAAAUGAACGAAUUCAUCCUCAAGACCUAACCCGAUGACAGAGAGCGCUUUUCGAUUCUUGGAGUCCCAGUCGAGCCGUUGGGUUACAUCCGCAGCAGCCGGACGUUGAGUCGUUCCAUCCACUAUAGGCCAGCAGCCCUUGGCCAAAAGGAUAAGCUGUACUUUUGUUUUCCAAGUCCAGAAAUUCUGUCCCGUGAACUUUUGGAGAAGUUUCUCCCAGCCCCCAGAGUCCCAAGAAUUUCCUGCUGCGUUAGCAGAAGACAUUCUAUCUAUUAAUCUAAGAAUAGGUUAAACAGAGAAUUUAGAAAGGACAGCGUGGAGAAGAAUCGUGAAAAACUCGGCCGCAACAAGGGCAGGCUGGGCAAAGAGCUUGUUGGCGCUUUCGUUCCUGGAUCUUCCGCUCCACCUGCGCCAGCACUGCCAAAGCCCUCGCGCGCUCCUGAGCCAAGGGUUCCUGGCCCCUUUGAUUCUUCAUCUGCCACUGUCCUCUGGCCAUUAGAUCGUUCGCUGCUCC